CUCCCGGCUCGGGCAGCCGCCGUACGUGCCCGCGGGCCCGGCCUGACAUCCUGCAGCGCUUCUCCCGAGAGCUCGGCGCCGCGGCUUCUAGUCCCGGCCGACCGCGGCGCUCCCAGGAGCCGGGCGUCCAGCGUGGCUCGGACGCGGGCCCGGGCCGCGGGGUCGAGGCGCCCUCAGCUGGGUCAGUAAUGGGACGCAGCCCAGCGCUCCAGUCUUUCUGCGUAGGCCACCUACUCCCCCGGGAUCCGAGCAGCUCCCAGCGGACACCGAAAACCCCGGGGACGCCUGGCCCGAGCACUCCUGGCCGCUCGAGAUGUGGCUAACAGCUGGGUCGCCCAGCAGGAGGCUCUGCGCGCGGGGACAUUUCAGGCCCGGGGCCCCGCCGGGAGCGCGCCACAAGGAGCGGCAGGGGGCCGGUCUGCUGCCCGCUUGGCACGCUCCCUACUCUCACCCCGCCUUUGCUAACUUGCUCUGUGGCAUUGAAACCACAGGUGCCGGACGGUGGGCACAGAGAAAGCCAGGCAUGCCCCUUCUUCCCACCCUCCGGACGCCCACCCAGACACCGCCUUCCCCGCCCCCCGCGGCGUCCCCGUCCGCCCCUCAGCGCGCUGAGCUCCCCCCCGCCGCUUGCGUCCUGCUCCGAUUACAGCAGUAAACACUGGGCAGCGGCCCCCGCGUGGAAGGGGGUUGUUUGGAAGUCUUUUAAAGACAGUGUCACCCUCAGGGUAAAUGCCCAGAAGCCGGGCCGCGCAUCCUUGGGCUGGGAAGUGUGGGAACGCCCGAGACCAAGCGAGGUUCAGGCCGGAGUUUGGCUGCGAGUCAGGCUCAGGGUAUCGGGAGAAGAAGCCGUCAGACUCGGCAGGGCUUAAACCUUCUAGAAAGCAUAUAUAUCCACUCCUUCUGCAGGAGCGGGGAGUGCCACCCGGGCGGUGGCCCGGCGGCGAGGCUGCUCCCUGCGCCGCGCUGGCCAGCGCCGCGGCCCCAGGCUGACCGCUGCGGACAUUUCCUGUCCCGCCGCCCAAAUCUCGCGCUCCCGAGGUAACCAGAGAGGGAAAGGAGGGUCCAGAGGCUGCAGAGGUGUGAAGGGACGGCCUGAGGCCAGCGCCUCGGGCGUGUUCGCCUGGCUGGCCUGGAGAACUGCUUUUAUUUAUAAGUCUCUAGGAGUUGAAAUAAAAUUAAACGAAGAGAAAAUAAUUAAUUUUCAGAAUUAUGUUCUGAAAUGAAAUCAACAAAAACGCGGGAAGGAUCCUCUAGCUCACUAUGGCUGGCAGAACCCGGGCUGUCUUGCGCCGGCUCAGGCAGCCUCUCCCGGCUUAAGCGAGUCUCUGCAGGUUGGCGCUGGCCGCAGCCCCUUGCGUAAGAGGCCCUGUGCCCUUCCUCCGUCCCACUCUUCCCUGUCAUGGGGGUGGGGGUGGGGGUGCAAGAAUGAGGGAGGCUGUGGCCUCUUGUCUGAAAGCAAGGCAGUUUGCCUGGAAGGUGGAGAUUCUCACCUUCCCUGAAAGGAGGAAAUGUUCCCAUUUCCACACCCCUCUCUGUGCAUAAAAGGGGGCGGAGGGCACUAGCCAAACUGGCCCCCUAGGCCUAAAGGGACCUGAGACAGAGACGCAGAGAGAAAAGAGAACAUCUCUGGCGGAAAGGCUGCCCUGCUACGUUGAAUCCAUUAAAAAAUGCUAGUGCAAUUUUUAUAUUGCACACUUGUUUGCUUUAUUCAUCAAUUUUUAUGGAGAUGGGAAGCGAGCGCGAGAGGAGAGUAUUUGGAAAGGCUUACUCCAAAAAUAUUUCCGAAGGAAAAUGUUUUCUUGGAGAUUGGUUGUGAGAAUAGCAAACCUGCACAUGCAGAGACCUCACUUCCCUUCCUUCUUUCAGGCCAUCAGACUUCCAAGUCUUCCUCCUUUCCCACUGUCUUACCCCAUCCCCAGUCCUCCCUCCCUCUCCUCUUUGACCCAUUCUCUCUUUCGCUUUGAUUUCGCCUUUGCUGCUCCCGCGUUUGGGGAUCGCGCGGCUGGGUGCUCGCUCGCGCCGCAUUCCGGGGGCCGCGCGCGGCCGGGCGGUGGGGCGGACGCCUUAAUUCCCGCCGGAGACCCUGCGGGUUGGGCCCUCCUGGCUAUUCUUUCCCGGCUCCAGUUCUCCUCUCUCUGCAGGGCACAGAAGAGCUGAGCCAAGUUCAAAGUCACGUCGCCGUCCCUUCUCAGAAGUGCUUUAUUUCUCUACAAACCGCAAACCCCUUUACUUCAUGACACUUUUUUUUUUUUUUUUAAAGGAAGGAAAGUGAAGAGAGAGCGAGAGAGAGCAAGGGGGGAAAAAGAAAGCAUGCAAAGGCUUUCAGAGUUACUGCCUCAAAAGUAGACUCGGGUUCCUUGGCUGAAGGAAAAAAGCAGCCAAGCGGCACAUUGUGAGUGAAUUCAGUUUUUCAACAGGUUUCUGGAAGGGCCCGUCUGUGGCAGUGUCAGGCCCGCAGGACCCACAACUGUCUCCAUCCGGCAAACAUGUCCCCUCUUUGUAAGUUUCCCAAAACUAUGCUUCCGAAAUCUUGCGGAGGCUGCGCGCGGCUGGGCCACAGGCCGGGGCUUGAGCGGAUCCCGCUCCAGGCCGCGCGGGCCGGUGUUCAUUUCUUUGCAAGUAGAGGGAAUGGCAGCGCGAUGGAGAAUUGGGGUUGUCUUCAAAAACCAGAAAAUCCCGCCAACACCCGAGCCCCCAUCAACCAAAGCACCUCGUUGCCGUUUGUGGGCAUCUGUGAACAGUGUUGACUGAGUUCUUUUGUGGUAUAGGAUGUGUUUUGUUUACCUAUGCAUAAAUAUAGCGUGUAUGCACACACUAUACCCUCACACACACACACAUAGGUAUACAUUGCUGGACAGGAGAAGCCAAAGAACAGGCAAACAAAAUUGACCUUUACAUUGAAAAGCAGAAGCUCUCGGUUGCCACACCACUCAAACUUUUAAUUUUCCUCUUAAGGAAGAAGGUGGAAAUGGGGGUAGUGGGAAAGAGUUGAGAGAAUAAAUGAGAGAAACAAGCGACAAAAAAAGGGGGGGAUUUCAUAGGAUUCCAGCACCAUCAUCUGUAUCACAGACUCAUAAAUUCAACAAGAUCAUCAACAGGAUAUUAAGUUGCAGGGCACCUUUGAUUCCGCCUUCUCAGCUACUCCUGGGCUGGGUGACCCCUGACCCAUGAAGGACCACAUGUGUGGUGCGGGAGCCCCUUCUAUAAAACCCACCUAGAACAAAAGUUCUUUGUUAGUGCUUUAGAGAAGUGUAAUGUAAAAGAAGGGGAAAUUGUGAAAAUCUCAGCCAAUGUUGUAACUUUUAAAUACCAUUUUUAAGAAGUGGGGGUGCUGAAUGAGGUUGUGAUAGGAUAAGGCCCUCUCUAGUUUGCUAAAAGAAUGUCUUUUCUUCCUACAGUUAAAAUUUACUGUCCUGUAACUGGGCUUAUAAAAAGUCUCCAUAUAAAAUAUGUGCUCACCAGCAGUUUAGUGAUAGGGGUGCAAAUAUUUGUGUAUUUGUCAAAAGGGACUCAGAAAAAAUAGAAGCUAUUAACCACCCUGGACCUUACCCCUGCAUUGGUGAUAGUCAGUGGUUGUGGUUUUCCAAAAGGAAGAGAAUUAAUUGUCCUUACUUGUCUUCUCUUUCCUGAUGGGAGUGAUUCUACUGCUGAAAAACAAACAAAACCAAACAAAAAAUAGGAGGCAUUAGCUAAUGUGAAUGUGUUUAAUGUUAUUCUGAAGACCUAUCCUUUGGGCUCCCAGGCGAACUAUAUCCAGAGAGAUUGAAUACAGAUGACAGGCGAGCAGCUUUCCAAUAAACUGUAGUAUUAUUGCAAUAGACUUUGUAAUACAAUUUAUGCUGUCAUUCAUAAAUAACAAUGCCAUAUGUCAACCAUAUUGCUUACACAAGUAAAUCCAUCAACGUGUCACUAUUUGAUUUAUCUCAACAGCUUCUUCAAAUAUUGAAGUAUAGAUAUUGGAAGGGGUGUGGAGUGAGAGGAACUACCCAAGAAAUUUGAGAUUUUAUUUUUAACUGCACAACCUCUACUUCUUCAUUUCCCAUCCAAAAACAUCCUAAAGGGAUUGAACCCAAAGCUGCCAUUACUACAAGAAUUAAUGCUUAUUGCCAAGAAAUUCAAAUAAUGGAAACUCAUUGGAAAGGUUCGGAGAGGAAACGAAGACAGUGAUAAUUCCAAAUAUGAUGUUUUCUUCAUAUACUAUCCAUGGAGAUGGCACAGUUCUCUAUCAACCUCUGCCUGGUUGGCUUGAAAUGUUUUAAGUCUUUGAUAUAAAAAUUGUGAAAGGACUGGUCCUUUCCAAAGAGAGAUGAUUCUGUUACCGCUGUUUAUUAAAUGUUUUUCGUUUUAUUUCCACACACGCCUUUAAUUCCCCAUAUUUGAACUUCAUCGAAGCUUAAAAGUCCAUUUAAAAUUU